rnacentral:rRNA from 1 species
CCUACGGGAGGCAGCAGUAGGGAAUAUUGCUCAAUGGGGGAAACCCUGAAGCAGCAACGCCGCGUGGAGGAUGAAGGUUUUCGGAUUGUAAACUCCUUUUGUUAGAGAAGAUAAUGACGGUAUCUAACGAAUCCCCACCGGGUAACUCCGCGCCAGCAGCCGCGGUAAUACGGAGGGUGCCAGCGUUACUCGGAAUCACUGGGGGGAACGAGCGCGUAGGCGGGAUAGCAAGUCAGCUGUGAAAUCCUAUGGCGUAACCAUAGAACUGCAUUUGAAACUGUUAUUCUAGAGUAUGGGAGAGGUAGGUGGAAUUCUUGGUGUAGGGGUAAAAUCCGUAGAGAUCAAGAGGAAUACUCAUUGCGAAGGCGACCUGCUAGAACAUAACUGACGCUGAUGCGCGAAAGCGUGGGGAGCAAACAGGAUUAGAUACCCGGGUAGUC